UCGAGAGUUUGAUCCUGGCUCAGGAUGAACGCUAGCGGCAGGCUUAACACAUGCAAGUCGAGGGGUAUAGUUCUUCGGAGCUAGAGACCGGCGCACGGGUGCGUAACGCGUAUGCAAUCUACCUUUUACAGAGGGAUAGCCCAGAGAAAUUUGGAUUAAUACCUCAUAGUAUGUGAGAAUCGCAUGGUUUUUCACAUUAAAGUUCCAACGGUAAAAGAUGAGCAUGCGUCCCAUUAGCUAGAUGGUAAGGUAACGGCUUACCAUGGCUACGAUGGGUAGGGGUCCUGAGAGGGAGAUCCCCCACACUGGUACUGAGACACGGACCAGACU
rnacentral:rRNA from 1 species